rnacentral:rRNA from 1 species
GACGAACGCUGGCGGCGUGCUUAAUACAUGCAAGUCGAACGGAAAGGCCCUGCUCUUGUGGCGUUCACGAGUGGCGAACGGGUGAGUAACACGCGAGUAACCCGCCCCUGUCUUUGGGAGAACACCAGGAAACUCGGGCUAAUACCGGAUAGGAGCUCCUGCUGCACGGUGGGGGUUGGAAAGUUUCGGCGGUUGGGGAUGGACUCGCGGCUUAUCAGCUUGUUGGUGGGGUAGUGGCUUACCAAGGCUGUGACGGGUAGCCGGCAUGAGAGGGUGAACGGCGACAAGGGGACUGAGAGACGGACCAGACGCCUACGGUAGGCAGUAGUGGGGAAUAUGGCGCAACGGGGGGAAGCCUGAUGCAGCAACGCCGCGUGCGGGAUGACGGCCUACGGGUUGUGAACCGCUUUCGCAUGUGACGAAGCGUGAGUGACGGUAAUGGGUAAAGAAGCACCGGCUAACUACGUG